rnacentral:rRNA from 1 species
AUUAAACGCUGGCGGCAUGCCUUACACAUGCAAGUCGAACGGCAGCACGGGGCAACCUGGUGGCGAGUGGCGAACGGGUGAGUAAAGCAUCGGAACGUGCCCUGGAGUGGGGGAUAACGUAGCGAAAGUUACGCUAAUACCGCAUAUUCUGUGAGCAGGAAAGCAGGGGAUCGCAAGACCUUGCGCUCUGGGAGCGGCCGAUGUCGGAUUAGCUAGUUGGUGGGGUAAAGGCCUACCAAGGCGACGAUCCGUAGCGGGUCUGAGAGGAUGAUCCGCCACACUGGGACUGAGACACGGCCCAGACUCCUACGGGAGGCAGCAGUGGGGAAUUUUUGGACAAUGGGCGGAAGCCUGAUCCAGCCAUGCCGCGUGAGUGAAGAAGG